AUUGAACGCUGGCGGCAGGCCUAACACAUGCAAGUCGAGCGGUUGAAGGGAGCUUGCUCCCUGAUUCAGCGGCGGACGGGUGAGUAAUGCCUAGGAAUCUGCCUAUUAGUGGGGGACAACGUUUCGAAAGGAACGCUAAUACCGCAUACGUCCUACGGGAGAAAGCAGGGGACCUUCGGGCCUUGCGCUAAUAGAUGAGCCUAGGUCGGAUUAGCUUGUUGGUGAGGUAAUGGCUCACCAAGGCGACGAUCCGUAACUGGUCUGAGAGGAUGACCAGUCACACUGGAACUGAAACACGGUCCAGACUCCUACGGGAGGCAGCAGUGGGGAAUACUGGACAAUGGGCGAAAGCCUGAUCCAGCCAUGCCGCGUGUGUGAAGAAGGUCUUCGGAUUGUAAAGCACUUUAAGUUGGGAGGAAGGGUUGUAGAUUAAUACUCUGCAAUUUUGACGUUACCGACAGAAUAAGCACCGGCUAACUCUGUGCCAGCCGCCGCCGCGGUAA
rnacentral:rRNA from 1 species